CUUCAUGAAGCCGGAAUUGCUAGUAAUGGCAGGUCAGCAUACUGCCGUGAAUACGUUCCCGGGCCUUGUACACACCGCCCGUCACACCAUGAGAGUUGGGAAUACCCGAAGCCUGUGAGCUAACAUUAUGAGGCAGCAGUCGAAGGUAGAAUCAAUGAUUGGGGUGAAGUCGUAACAAGGUAGC
rnacentral:rRNA from 1 species